UUUUCACGCUCUCGACUUCGACCCAAUGACCAGCUAUCCAAACGCAAACCCUAAUCCAUCGCCGCGUUUUCUCCUUUUAUGCUCUCUGUUUCACUCCAAUCGGCCGUGAAGAUGUCGAUCCAGAUUCUGUAAAUGGAAGUCGUUGCGAUUCCUGCGUCUAAUACAUUAACAAACCACCCACCAGGAACUAAUCCAUCAUCUAUAACCUGCUCGCUCCUUUCCUACGUACCGCCGGCGUCGUUGUUGUUGUGAUGUUCUAUGUUCACCACCUCCUCCGGUCAGUCAACGGUGUGACGGUUUGGGGUUGCAUUCAAUCGAAAUAAUCACCCUUCUCAAUAAAGCCAUCGAUCCAGAGACCACGACCUUUCACUACGCCGCAUUCAAGACAGCCCCUUCUUCCUCCAUGUUAGCGAAUCUAGACCUAUAAAUAAGAGAGCAGGCUUUGUUGAUAUGCAUCACUUGCUCCUUAGAGAAUCACUAAUCAGAGAUGGCAACCUCCUCCGUUUUCGUCAUAUUGGAAAGAUGGUCGCUGUAACAACAUCGAUGAAGUCCGAUUGUUGAGGUUUUGAGAGGCAUGUAAAGACAAAGUUAACAAGCCGCCGAAGCAAAGCAUUUUAAGGUCGGCGAGAGAGUGCUUAUAUGAGCUUCUUGUGGAAGUGAUCAAAGCCAAUACUCCUGGAUACAAAAUAUUAUAAUCUCUACUCACUCACGCAGAAUGAUAUAGGACUCUCUACUAACACAGAUGAUGCUGAUGUUGAUGGGAACAUGUCAAUCUGACUGAAUCAAGCUCAUUACUGCAACAAUGCUUGAAAUGAAUGAGAAUCUUCACCAAGCCUUAAAGACAGCAGCAGAACUAAGGCUUGUGGAUUGAUGGAGGGAGCUUCUGCUACUACAGGUGCCUUCCAUGAUGAACCUGUCUAUGGUGGAUUAACUGAUGAUGGUUCACCACUUCGGGAGGAUGAGUCAGCCGGAAAAAUGCCAGCAAUGCUUAAGUUCCCAGCAUCGUGAGUCACCAAGUCCAACAUCCACCACUGCCAUUCCUUAUAUUUUUUCUUCACUUGAAUUUGAAUAAAAUUAUUUAGAUCUCGCUUCCUCUUUGAAUCCUUUUGUUGUCGUUUUUUUUAACUUUCCUUCAUCUCCUUCUUCACUUUGUUCUUCACGUUGAUCAUCAGCAAAACUUUGUCCCACCAGUGAUUUAUAAAAACAUAAUAUUGCUCUUUCGUGCAGUCA